GGCCUCGUUGUCUAGUGGUUAAGACGCCCUCUAUUCCCUUAAUAGGGAGACCUUGGUUCGAAUCCAGGCGAGGUCC